CAACCUGCCCACCACUUGGGGAUAACCUUGCGAAAGUAAGACUAAUACCCAAUGAUAUCUCUAGAAGACAUCUGAAGGAGAUUAAAGAUUUAUCGGUGAUGGAUGGGGAUGCGUCUGAUUAGCUUGUUGGCGGGGUAACGGCCCACCAAGGCGACGAUCAGUAGGGGUUCUGAGAGGAAGGUCCCCCACAUUGGAACUGAGACACGGUCCAAACUCCUACGGGAGGCAGCAGUGAGGAAUAUUGGUCAAUGGACGAGAGUCUGAACCAGCCAAGUAGCGUGCAGGAUGACGGCCCUAUGGGUUGUAAACUGCUUUUAUAAGGGAAUAAAGUUAGUCUCGUGAGACUUUUUGCAUGUACCUUAUGAAUAAGGACCGGCUAAUUCCGUGCCAGUAGCCGCGGUAAUACGGAAGGUCCGGGCGUUAUCCGGAUUUAUUGGGUUUAAAGGGAGCGUAGGCCGGAGAUUAAGCGUGCUGUGAAAUGUAGACGCCCAACGUCUGCACUGCAGCGCGAACUGGUUUCCUUGAGUACGCACAAAGUGGGCGGAAUUCGUGGUGUAGCGGUGAAAUGCUUAGAUAUCACGAAGAACUCCGAUUG
rnacentral:rRNA from 1 species